rnacentral:lncRNA from 1 species
CGGGGCGGCGCGCGCGCGGUCGGGCGCGGUUGGACUGGGCCGGUUCGGCCCAAAAUGGCCGGGCCGGUCCAUUUGCUCCCCUUUUUUUUUCCUUUACCCUUUUCUUUUUUCUGUUUUUCUCAUUUCUUUGAUAUCUUUUGAGUUUGAACUCCAAAUUGGUCCAAAUAAAUUCCAGAAAAUUUGUAAAAUCAUGUUCUACCAAGAUACAACUUUUGGAAGUAGUUUCUCUUCAAAAUAAAAUAUGUAAAAAUACAUUUGCCCUAUAAAUGCUUUAGGGCCAUAUAACUAUUUAAAUAAAAUACUUUUUCAACUCCAAAUAAUUAACCAAAAAUUAUGGGAUAGCGUAUAUAUGCAUUAAACCCUUUUUAUACAUCAACCCUAUUGGUUUGAAAAUCCAAAGGUUACAGGGAUGUAAACAAAAUCUCUUAAAGCCUUUUGUGAUUCAAAAUUUGAAUUCAAAUAUGCAAUUGUGGCAUGAUGCUUAUGAAUGCAAUGCACAUGUAAAAGUUUGAAAUUUUGGGAUGUUACAACAAGUGCUUUCGUGGUACGGUAUACUAAUUCUCCGGGCAUGAAAGUACACAAUGAUGGUGAAGGUGACGAGGUUUAUGGUGAUGGUGACGACGACGAUGAUGAGGAAUAGGCCAAUGUUGAUAGUGACGUUGAUAGUGACGUUGAGAGUGAUCUUGAUGCGGCUCUUCUAGUUGAUCCUGAUGACAAAGAUUACAAUCCACAUGCCCAUACUUAGUUGUUUCAUUUGUUUAGAUCAAGUUGUAAUCCGUCAUACUUAAUUAGUUAGUUCAUUGAAUCCCAACUUUACUGUAUUGU